CACAUGCAAGUUGAACGGCAGCACGGAGAGCUUGCUUUUUUGUGGCGAGUGGCGAAAGGGUGAGUAAUAUAUUGGAACGUGUUCAAUAAUGGGGGAUAACGAGUUGAAAGAUUUGCUAAUAAAAAAUAAGCCCUACGGGGGAAAGCAGGGGAUUGUAAGACCUUGCGUUAAUGGAGCGGCCGAUAUUUGAUUAGGUUGUUGGUGAGGUAAAGGCUUACCAAGGGGACGAUCAGUAGCUGGUUUGAGAGAACGACCAGCCACACUGGAAAUGAGACACGGUCCAGACUCCUACGGGAGGCAGCAGUGGGGAAUUUUGGACAAUGGGGGCAACCCUGAUCCAGCCAUUUCGCGUGAGUGAAGAAGGCCUUUGGGUUGUAAAGGUUUUUGUCAAGGGAAGG
rnacentral:rRNA from 1 species